rnacentral:rRNA from 1 species
GACGAACGCUGGCGGCGUGCUUAACACAUGCAAGUCGAACGGAAAGGCCCUGCUUUUGUGGGUUGCUCGAUUGGCGAACAGGUGAGUAACACGUGAGUAACCUGCCCUUGACUUUGGGAUAACUUCAGGAAACUGGGGCUCAUAUCGGAUAUGAUCUCCUGCUGCAUGGUGGUGGUUGGAAAGAUUCGGCGGUUGGGGAUGGACUCGCGGCUUAUCAGCUUGUUGGGGGGGUAGUGCCGUCCCAAGGCUUUGACGGGUAGCCGGCCUGAGAGGGUGGCCGGCCACAUUGGGACUGCGAUACGGCCCAGACUCCUACGGGAGGCAGCAGUCGAGAAUAUUACACAAUGGGCGGAAGCCUGAUGCAGCAACGCCGCGUGCGUGAUAACGGCCUUCGGGUUAUAAACCGCUUUCGAAUGUGACGAAGCGUGAGUGACGGUAAUGGGUAAAAAAGCAACGGCUAACUACGUG